GUGAACGCUGGCGGUAGACCUAACACAUGCAAGUCGAACGGCAGCACAGUAAGAGCUUGCUCUUACGGGUGGCGAGUGGCGGACGGGUGAGGAAUACAUCGGAAUCUACUUUUUCGUGGGGGAUAACGUAGGGAAACUUACGCUAAUACCGCAUACGACCUACGGGUGAAAGCAGGGGAUCUUCGGACCUUGCGCGAUCGAAUGAGCCGAUGUCGGAUUAGCUAGUUGGCGGGGUAAAGGCCCACCAAGGCGACGAUCCGUAGCUGGUCUGAGAGGAUGAUCAGCCACACUGGAACUGAGACACGGUCCAGACUCCUACGGGAGGCAGCAGUGGGGAAUAUUGGACAAUGGGCGCAAGCCUGAUCCAGCCAUACCGCGUGGGUGAAGAAGGCCUUCGGGUUGUAAAGCCCUUUUGCUGGGAAAGAAAAGCAGCAGGUUAAUACCCCGCUGUUCUGACGGUACCCAAAGAAUAAGCACCGGCUAACUUCGUG
rnacentral:rRNA from 1 species